AUUGAACGCUGGCGGCAGGCUUAACACAUGCAAGUCGAACGGUAACAUAAAGAAGCUUGCUUCUUUGAUGACGAGUGGCGGACGGGUGAGUAAUGCUUGGGAAUCUAGCUUAUGGAGGGGGAUAACUACGGGAAACUGUAGCUAAUACCGCGUAGAAUCGAGAGAUGAAAGUGUGGGACCUUCGGGCCACAUGCCAUAGGAUGAGCCCAAGUGGGAUUAGGUAGUUGGUGAGGUAAAGGCUCACCAAGCCGACGAUCUCUAGCUGGUCUGAGAGGAUGACCAGCCACACUGGGACUGAGACACGGCCCAGACUCCUACGGGAGGCAGCAGUGGGGAAUAUUGCGCAAUGGGGGCAACCCUGACGCAGCCGUGCCGCGUGAAUGAAGAAGGCCUUCGGGUUGUAAAGUUCUUUCGGUAGCGAGGAAGGCAUUUAGUUUAAUAGACUAGGUGAUUGACGUUAACUACAGAAGAAGCACCGGCUAACUCCGUGCCAGCAGCCGCGGUAAUACGGAGGGUGCGAGCGUUAAUCGGAAUAACUGGGCGUAAAGGGCACGCAGGCGGUGACUUAAGUGAGGUGUGAAAGCCCCGGGCUUAACCUGGGAAUUGCAUUUCAUACUGGGUCGCUAGAGUACUUUAGGGAGGGGUAGAAUUCCACGUGUAGCGGUGAAAUGCGUAGAGAUGUGGAGGAAUACCGAAGGCGAAGGCAGCCCCUUGGGAAUGUACUGACGCUCAUGUGCGAAAGCGUGGGGAGCAAACAGG
rnacentral:rRNA from 1 species